AAUUUGGUAGAAUGGGGGAAACGCUGAUCCAGCUAGCCCGCGUGUAUGAAGAAGGUCUUCGGGGUGUAAUGCACUUUUGGCAGAGAAGAAUAGGUAUUUCCUAAUACGAGAUACUGCUGACGUUAUCUGCAGAAUAAGCACUGGCUAGUUACGUGCAAGCAUCUGCGGUAAUACGUUGGGUGCAAGCGUUAAUCGGAAUUACUGGGCGUAAGGGUAGUGUAGGCGGUUCGGAAAGAAAGAUGUGAAAUCCCGGGCCUCAACCUUGAAACUGCAUUUUAAACUGCCGUGCUUGGGUAUACCGGAGGGAGAUAGAUUUCCACUUGUAGCAGUCAAAUGCGUAGAUAUGGGGAGAAGUACCGAUGGCAAAGGCAGACCCCGGGGAUAAUGCUGACGCUCAGACACGAAAGCGUGGGGAGCAAACGG
rnacentral:rRNA from 1 species